UUUUAUUUCUCGGGCGGGCUCGGCUGGCGGGCGUAUUGUGGCUUUGCAUGGGAAAAGCUAUGGUGCUGCUGAUGCUCCCGGACAUUCUAAGAUUUAAGGGCUGCCACAAGGAGUUCCACAGUUCAGAAAAUGGAUGACCAAAGAGAAUUGAGAACACCCUAUCAGAAAUUCUGAAGGUUAUUGGAGAUUGAAUUCGGGCUAUACCAAAAUGGUUAUGUCAUCCAUAAAAUUAUGCCCAGGGAUAAAUUUGAAAAAAUGGUGGUUGAUAUGAUAUUGAGUUACAGUGACUGGAAUGGGAAUUCAUUUAGUGUAUUACAUAGUGCAUGCUAAAGUAAUCAAUUGUUG